rnacentral:lncRNA from 1 species
CUUCUCUUGCCUAUCUGCUUCAGUCUAUGUUCCUCAGUUCCUUGUUGCUGUCUCUGGGGUGGCUGCUGAUGAUACUGCCUGCUCCUGUGCCUGGUCCUCCUGAAUCCUCCUCCUGAUCUCUGGAUACAACUUUGCCUGCUUUUGUUGGUCUGCUGGGCUGCUUGUAGCUGCUGAUGUUUGGAACUUUGGAACUCACAAACUUGGAGCAGAUCUCCAGCCAACUGCUCCCAGAUUCAAGAGAGAAGAUGGACAAUACCAACCCUACUUCAGGUUGCUGA